UUAUUAUUAUUAUUAUUGUUAUUAUUGUUAUUAUUAUUAUCAUUGUUAUUAUUACAAAUGGUAAAAAGCCUAGAUGUUAACAAUAAGUAGGCGGUCACUGGCAUCUAGCCACCCUCUCAUGAUGCCUUCAGUUGAGUCUAUGCAGCUUUACCAUAAUAAUUCAGCUUACAACAUACUUAAAACAACUAUAAAAAGAAUCAAUAGCAUAUCAAGGAUCAAAGCAUGGAGAAUAAACUUAUCAAUGGCUUCUCAUCAUGACAGAUCUAUACAUUACCUCCUGUAUCAGACGGUUAAGGCUCUGAAUACCAGUUACCAAGAAACAUGAGCCACAGAGUGCUUUUUUUGCUCAUGUCUAGCUUGUGGGCUUCCCAUAGGCCAAUGUGGGAACAAAAUGCUGGACUAGAUAGCUCUUCAAUCUGACACAGCAGGGCUGCUCUUAGGUUUUUAAAGUCAUCUCAUUAAAAGAGCAUAAAUGUUCAACUGUAGUAAAGGCCCUGUCCAAGAAAACACGUAUUUUUAUGUGGCAUCUAAAAUUCAGUAGUGUCUGAAUUAACAAUCACAAUGAGGGAGUUCCACAACAGGGUGUCACCACCAUGAAGGAACUAUUUCUGGUAGCCUUUCACCUGACAAUAACGUAGAUGGCAGGGCAACCCAGGGCUGGAUCUUCAGUGAAGUUUUACUCUUCUCAGCUUAAUAGAAUGUCCUUGAGUUGUAUCAUAGUGUUCUGCAUUUAUUCACGCAAUGAUGUGUGUGCGCGUGCAAAAUGCUAAAUGUCAUGACAUAAUUUAAACUACAUGUUAUGGAGGGGAUAUGGGUUUGAAAGCAGCCUUUUUUUUAGAGGUUGCAGCCAUAUGUUUACAUGGCUUAUUGAACUAUGAAUCCAAAACAGGGAUUCAAGUGUAAUUUAACCUACCCUAAAAGAAAACUGAAGAAAGUGAUGUUUGGAGAAGGUAUAUGAUGUUCUUCUCAAAUAACAGGACUAUUCGGCCUUGGUUGGUUGGUUGGAGUUUGUUACAAUUCAGCUGAACAGACAAAAGUUGGGAUUCUACUUCAACACACAGAUGAAGGGAUGGAAAGGUUUCGUCAUACUGGUCUGCAGAAUGUUCCUUUAAACUCAUCCCUAGCAGCUUAGUUUAUUUUAUCUUGUUAAUGGGUGCUUCCCAGGUACAUUAUUCUUGCACUAAAAUACAGCUCAGUUGAUGCAAGCACAUCCUGAAAUGAAAGAAGGUGGUGCUCAGAUACCACAAUCUGGGCUUCCCCGCUCCUCCCAAUAGUUGUAAAGUAGAGAGGUGUAGGGAGCAUUUACAGUCUUACUGUUUCAAUAAGUGUGUGACUUAAUUCUGUCUUCUCCCUCAGAUUUCCUGGGGAGACAGGUAUUCUAUCUUAUCUGUAGAAUGUGUUGCAUCUGGAAAGAGGCCUGUGUAAAUCUCUAAAAAUUGCAGCUUCAGAACGAAAGCUCUUGCACAAUCUAAUCUGUAGCAUCACAAAUGCAAUUUUGUUCCCUCCUG